UACGGGGGGUGCGAGCGUUGUCCGGAUUCACUGGGCGUAAAGGGCGCGUAGGCGGCUGGCUCAGUCGGGCCUGUAAGUGCGGGGCUCAACCCCGUGAUGGGCUCGGGACGGGUCGGCUGGGGCGCGGUCGAUGGAAUUGCCGGUGUAGUGGUGAAAUGCGUAGAGAUCGGCAGGAACACCCAGGGGGAAACCAGUCGACUGGGCAUCUACUGACGCUGAGGUGCGAGAGCGUGGGGAGCGAACCGG
rnacentral:rRNA from 1 species